CAUCAUUGACAACCAUAGUCAGUGGUUGACGACGGGGCCUGAAGCUGUGUGACAACAACGGCUUUUGGACUGUCAUAUGUUGGCUUUCAAAACAUAAUUGGACCUUGUUUGGAUUCAUAUGUAAGACAGGUCCCACAAAUGAAGUGACAAGCAGGAUAUGUCCUCGUUCCAGGUGGUGGGCUCUUCGCCCACCAGUGGCAUUGGUGUCAUGGAAACAUCAAACUUUGCUCAUGUUAUCUUCCAGAACGUUAGGAAGAGCUUCCUGCCCCAGGAGGCACUGGAGUGUCGCUACACCCUCACCUCCUACAUCACCCCCAACCCCAAAGACUGGGUGGGCAUCUUUAAGGUGGGUUGGAACACAGCGAGGGAUUACUACACCUUCCUAUGGUCUCCUAUGCCGGAAAACUACCAACCUGGAAGCACUGUACACAGGGCUGUGGUGUUCCAAGGGCACUAUGUUCCCAAGAGUGACGGGGAGUUCUAUCAGCUCUGUUACGUCACGCACAUGGGUGACAUCAGAGGCGCUAGCACGCCUUUCCUGUUUCGCCCAGCCACGCCCACCGAGGACUGUCUCACCGUUACCGAGGACGACAACAACUCAGACAUACUGGUGGUGACCACCAAGAGCAGUGUGCUGGAGCAGCGUGUAGAGGAGGCGCAGCAGGAGCGCAGGGAGCUGUUGAAGAGAUUACAUCACCUUCAGAAGGAGAAACAGCAGCUGCAGGAGGAGCACAGGAGGCUGCACAGAGAGAGGGAGCAGGAGAGGGAGACCUGCUACCUUCUACGCACACACAACCAGGAGCUGCUGCGCUCCUCCCAGGGCCUGUCAGAGGAGAGGGAGGAGGUGAGGAGGAGGCUGCAGGAGGCCACAGACCGGGUCAGACAGCUGGAGGAGGACCUACUGGGAGUCUCACAGAGAGGACUGCAGAAAGAGACCGAACUGGACUGUCUGAGAGACAGGUUGAAGAAGCUGACAGCAGAAAGAGACAGUCUGGAGACUCAACUGAAGAACGACAAGGAUGGGAGGGACCUCUACAAGGGCCACCUGCGCAGCACGGAGCUGGAGAACACUAAGCUGAGUGCAGAGCUGCAGAUGCUGAAGGCUGUGGAGCUCAACAGAGAGGUGACCAUCGCUCAGUUCCAGGAAGAACUGGACAGGCUCCGAGCCUGCGUCACUCAGAAGGACCGCGUGGAGAAAGAGCUGCACACACACGCUGUCGACAAGGCUGAGAUGGGUCGUCUGAGGGAGCAGCUUCGCCAGUGUGAGGAGCAGCUCCAGGCGUCUCGCCAGCAGGCCGCCAUGUUGGCGUCGGAACUCCGUGACUCAGCGAAUGCCCGCGAUCGCACCAUGACUGAGCUGUACCGUGCCCGCCUAGAGGCCGACGCCCUCCGUGCCAGCCUGGCCGAUGCCCAGGCCGAAUGCCGGAGGAUGGAGACGCAGCUGGACCACAUGAGGACCACAUCCCAGCAGGAAGUGGGUGUGGGGACCUCCAGUGAGGGGGGGUGUGUGGUGUCUGAGGCGGAGGCUGAGCUACAGAGAGAAGUGGAGGAGCUGAAGCUGCGUCUCCACAUGGCCGCUGAGCACUACAAGGAGAAGUACAGGGAGUGUCAGCGGCUCCGCAGGCAGGUGGCCAAGAUCAGCGAGGCCCAGGGGGAGUCAAAGAGAAACGCUGCCACUGAGACGACACAGGAGCCACUGACACCCAGUCCAGAGUCACCUACAGCAGGCAAUCUGUCUGCAACUGUGCUGAGAGGAGACAGUGAGAGGCCGGUAGUCCCUAACCGGCGUGACAAAAACAGGGAACACACACACACUUACGCACAGACCAACACAUUCUCCGGCAUGGAGAUCAUGAGAGCUGGGGAGAAAGAGUGGAAGGGGCGGAAUAGGGAAGAGAUGGAAAGAGAAGUGAGUGGAGAGGAGGAAGGGAAAGAAGAUGGGAGUGUGGAAGAGGAGAGGAAGGAGGACAUGAGUGAAGGAGAGGAGAGGAAGGAGGACAUGAGUGGAGGAGAGGAGAGGAAGGAGGACAGGAGUGGAGGAGAGGAGAGGAAGGAGGACAGGAGUGAAGGAGAGGAGAGGAAGGAGGACAUGAGUGAAGGAGAGGAGAGGAAGGAGGACAUGAGUGAAGGAGAGGAGAAGAAGGAGGACAUGAGUGAAGGAGAGGAGAGCAUGAAGAUGGAGAGUUGGGUGGAGUUGGAGAAGGAGAGGAAGAGUGCUGAAGAGGUGGAUGAGAGGAGUGUGGAGGAUGAGGGGAAGAGUGCGGAGGAGGUAGAGAAAGAACAGACUCGUUCGGUGGAGGAGGAGCUGGCGAGGAUGGAGGAGAAGUGGGCGGAGCAGUGUGCUAUCAACGAGACGCUUAAGCAGAGACUGGCCAAUGAGGAGGAGCGAUUCAGGAUCCAGAUGGUAGAGAGGGCCGUGGAGGUGACAGAGCUGAAGGAGAGUCUGGCUCAGGCCCUCAGAGAGAAGAAUCAACUCAAGGAGGAUGCCCACAGGUCUCACAAGACUCCUCUGAAGGUCUCCCGGUACCAGUUGAAAAAAAUGAAUGGAAGUACAGUACCAGUCAGGAGCUGCAGCAGUGUCAGGGCCGACAGAGGGAGCAGGAGGCUGAUGGUCAGGUGUCAGAGGUCAAACAGCCUGUGUUGCUGCGCUACCCACUUCCCUACCCCCAGGACCCCUCCCCACCCCCCCUGGUACCUCAGAGACCUGCAGAGCUGCAGUACGGGAACCCCUACUCCACCGACAACACUCGAGACGGGGCAGACGGCGCCCUGUCCCCAGAGCUCCCCCCCCCUCCUGAGGCCCGUGGUGCAUGUGCCCCUCCGGCCACCCCCCCGACCCCGUGUGCAGGUGCAGACUGGGAGAGAGAUGUGGUCUGCAUCCAGCCCUCCUCAUCACGAAGCAUGAGCCCCCCUGACGGACUGGAACACUCCCCCGAGGAGCCACGCAAUGUCGGUGAUGGGGAGCAGCCUGCCUGCAAUCAUCAGACCAGCAGCGGACUUACCGCCAACAGGGGCAGCUUCUGUUUCGACCCCAGUGGUGAGGUUCACAAGCGCUGUCCGUUGUGCGAGGUGAUCUUCCCGCCCCACUUUGAGCAGCGUAGCUUUGAGCAGCACUUGGAGAGCCACUGGAAGGUGUGUCCUGUGUGCUCUGAGCAGUUCCCCCUCGACUGCCAUCAGCAGCUCUUCCAAAAGCACAUGCUCACACACUUUGACGGCCAUGUGCUAAACUUCGCCAACAUGGAGUAGCAGGGCAGAUGGGGGAGUGUGUGUGAAAGCGAAGGUUUGGAUUAAGGGAUGUAAAGAAGAAUAAAGGAACCUUUACUCAAAUGGGGGUCGAGAUGAUUUCAUUCAAGAAGGGAGAUUCCAAAUCAAGAUGAGAGAAAUCAUUGGGGGUAAAUUGCACUUUGUUGUAAAUUGAAAUGGAAUUAACUCCAGCCUUGGCCUCACACACUUCCACGAGAACAUGCUACAUUUAAAAACAUCAAGGAGUGUGUGUAUGACUUUCUACAAGGGGGAGUUUGUCAGUUUAGGGAAAUUACAACAACAAAAAAUGUUUUGCGUGAGGUUUCGGAGCCUUGGAGCUCUUUGGUUUUGUCCCAUGUUGAUGAUGUCAUCACUGGAUGUGUUUAGUAUCUGUAGGAUUCAUCUGCGUUAAUCAGCCAGUCAAUAGUACCUACUUUACAAGACUUGAUUUUCAGUUUCUACUCCCAGUGACUCUGUAGACACAUGUAGAAACAGGUGACAUCCAGGGAUGUAAGGGAGAGUAGGAGCACGUUGCCCCUAGACACUAAUGGUCAGUUUUGCAUUUCCCCUCUAAUGGUUAAGGUUAGGAUUUGGUUUACCUGAACCUAGAUCUGUGGAAACUUCUACCGUGGAGAGGGAGGAGAUAUGUGGUCUUGAAGCACCUCCAGCCCAAUGUAAUGUAAAGUAUGAGUCAAACACUUUGUCAGCAAAAUACAUCAGACGGUUAAAAAAUAAUUAGUACUAUUGUUUGAAUUUGACUGCACUAAAAAUACUUUAAUAUUCUGAAUGUAUGUGUGUGUAUAACUGGGUGGUUCAAGCCCUGAAUGCUGUUUGGCUGACAGCUGUGCUAUAUUAGACCGUAUACCACAGGUAUGGCAAAACAACUAUUUUUACUGCUCUAGUUGCGUUGAUAACCAGUUUAUAAUAGCAAUAAGGCACCUCAGGGGAUUGUGAUGUAUGACCAAUAUACCACGGCUAAGGGCUGUGUCCAGGCACUCCACGUUGCGUAUAAAGAACUGCCCUUAGUUGUGGUAUAUUGGCCAUAUACCACACCCCCUCGGGCCUUAUUGCUGAAAUAAAAAAAUAUGAGAAGUAGAACUAUUUCAAUUGCUGUUGUGACAAUGUACUCCCACAUGUUUUAGUCAUGACAGAUUGAUGUUUUACUUCCUGGUCUCCAUUCAUUGGAUAGGCUGACAUUCCGCUUCAGUUGAUUGGAGGGAAGGUAACUGGAAAUAUGAACGCUAUAGAAAACUACUGUACUCUUGGCUAUGGACUCUUUCACCGUGUUAAGAUUCUAACGAUUGCCAUCUUUACCUCCUUUGUUUGGGUCAAAGUAAGUUUCUUGUGCGCGUGUCUCUGAUUCCUGUCAUCUGUCAGAGAUUUUACUGUUCUUUCAAUGUGACCACAGUGCUGUACUUUUGGCUUCAAAAGUUGCACACGUGUCUCAUGUCCAAAUGCGGCCCUUUUAAAGUGUGUGUAGGUUUGUAUGUGAGCAGUAAAAAUAAAGUACGCUUGUCAAAUGGA